rnacentral:rRNA from 1 species
ACUCCUACGGGAGGCAGCAGUGGGGAAUAUUGCACAAUGGGCGCAAGCCUGAUGCAGCCAUGCCGCGUGUAUGAAGAAGGCCUUCGGGAAGAAAAGUACUUUCAGUAGGGACCAAGGUGUGCGUGUUAAUAGCGCAGGCACGUGCAAUGGACGUUACCUACAGAAGAAGCACCGGUAACCCAGCAGCCGCGGUAAUA